rnacentral:rRNA from 1 species
ACGGAAAGACCCCGUGAACCUUUACUGUAGCUUUGCAUUGGACUUUGAACAGACUUGUGUAGGAUAGGUGGGAGGCUUUGAAGUGGGAACGCCAGUUCUCAUGGAGCCGUCCUUGAAAUACCACCCUGGUGUGUUUGAGGUUCUAACCUGGGUCCGUCAUCCGGAUCGGGGACCGUGCAUGGUAGGCAGUUUGACUGGGGCGGUCUCCUCCCAAAGUGUAACGGAGGAGCUCGAAGGUCGCCUAGGUACGGUCGGACAUCGUACUGAUAGUGUAAUGGCAUAAGGCGGCUUAACUGCGAGACCGACAAGUCGAGCAGGUGCGAAAGCAGGACAUAGUGAUCCGGUGGUUCUGUAUGGAAGGGCCAUCGCUCAACGGAUAAAAGGUACUCCGGGGAUAACAGGCUGAUACCGCCCAAGAGUUCACAUCGACGGCGGUGUUUGGCACCUCGAUGUCGGCUCAUCACAUCCUGGGGCUGUAGCCGGUCCCAAGGGUAUGGCUGUUCGCCAUUUAAAGUGGUACGUGAGCUGGGUUUAAAACGUCGU